AGGACGGCAGCAGGCGCGGAACUUGCCCAAUGCGCGCGCGCGAGGCAGCGACGGGGAGUGCGCGAGCGAGGCGGGCCCACAGCCCCCGCCGCGGAGCCGAGGGCAAGGUCUGGUGCCAGCAGCCGCGGUAAUUCCAGCUCGGCGGGCGUCGCGUGGCGCUGCUGCAGUUAAAACGCCCGUAGUUGGCCCCCCGCCGCCACGAGGAAACGGGAGCGCUCCAGGCAGGCCCGUUGGACCCGCCGCGUGGGACCGCGCAGCGGGCGCGGCGCGCCGCGGCAGCCCCGAGGAGAGCGGGCGGGGGCACCGGUACCGGCCGGGGACGGGUGAAACAGGAUGAUCCCGCCGAGACCGCCGGCCGCGCAGGCGCCUGCCAAGACCGCCUCUGUCAAUCAAGGGCGAAGGCCGGGGGCUAGAAGGCGAUCAGACACCAC
rnacentral:rRNA from 1 species